rnacentral:lncRNA from 1 species
UGGUGGACAGACAAAAGGGACAGACAAAACCAGAUCAGAGUCCAGGAGGUACAGAGUAGCAGACAGGCUCGUGGUCAAGGCAGGCAGAAAGGUCAGGCAGGCGGGUACAGAGUCCAGAACAGGCAAGGGUCAAAACCAAAACUAGAAAAAGGACAAUAGCAAAGGCAGGGUGUACGGGGGAAAAAAACGCUGGUUUACUAGGAACAUACAAGACGAACUGGCAGAGAGACAGGAAACACAGGGAUAAAUACACUGGCACAGAGAGACAGGAAACACAGGGAUAAAUACACUGGCACAGAGAGACAGGAAACACAGGGAUAAAUACACUGGGGCAGAGAGACAGGAAACACAGGGAUAAAUACACUGGCACAGAGAGACAGGAAACACAGGGAUAAAUACACUGGCACAGAGAGACAGGAAACACAGGGAUAAAUACACUGGCACAGAGAGACAGGAAACACAGGGAUAAAUACACUGGGGCAGAGAGACAGGAAACACAGGGAUAAAUACACUGGCACAGAGAGACAGGAAACACAGGGAUAAAUACACUGGCACAGAGAGACAGGAAACACAGGGAUAAAUACACUGGCACAGAGAGACAGGAAACAGGGAUAAAUACACUGGGGCAGAGAGACAGGAAACACAGGGAUAAAUGCACUGGCACAGAGAGACAGGAAACACAGGGAUAAAUACACUGGCACAGAGAGACAGGAAACACAGGGAUAAAUACACUGGCACAGAGAGACUGGAAACACAGGGAUAAAUAGACUGGGGCAGAGAGACAGGAAACACAGGGAUAAAUACACUGGCACAGAGAGACAGGAAACACAGGGAUAAAUACACUGGGGCAGAGAGACAGGAAACACAGGGAUAAAUACACUGGCACAGAGAGACAGGAAACACAGGGAUAAAUACACUGGGGCAGAGAGACAGGAAACACAGGGAUAAAUACACUGGCACUGAGAGACAGGAAACACAGGGAUAAAUACACUGGCACAGAGAGACAGGUAACACAGGAAUAAAUACACUGGCACAGAGAGACAGGAAACACAGGGAUAAAUACACUGGCACAGAGAGACAGGUAACACAGGAAUAAAUACACUGGCACAGAGAGACAGGAAACACAGGGAUAAAUACACUGGAGCAGAGAGACAGGAAACACAGGGAUAAAUACACUGGCACAUAGAGACAGGAAACACAGGGAUAAAUACACUGGCACAGAGAGACAGGAAAAACAAGGAAAAAUACACUGGGGCAGAGAGACAGGAAACACAGGGAUAAAUACACUGGCACAGAGAGACAGGAAACACAGGGAUAAAUACACUGGGGCAGAGAGACAGGAAACACAGGGAUAAAUACACUGGCACUG